rnacentral:rRNA from 1 species
UGGGGAAUAUUGGACAAUGGGCGCAAGCCUGAUCCAGCCAUGCCGCGUGAGUGAUGAAGGCCUUAGGGUUGUAAAGCUCUUUCAGUGGGGAAGAUAAUGACGGUACCCACAGAAGAAGCCCCGGCUAACUUCGUGCCAGCAGCCGCGGUAAUACGAAGGGGGCUAGCGUUGUUCGGAUUUACUGGGCGUAAAGCGCACGUAGGCGGUUUGUUAAGUCAGGGGUGAAAUCCCAGAGCUCAACUCUGGAACUGCCUUUGAUACUGGCAAGCUCGAGUCCGGAAGAGGUAAGUGGAACUCCUAGUGUAGAGGUGGAAUUCGUAGAUAUUAGGAAGAACACCAGUGGCGAAGGCGGCUUACUGGUCCGGAACUGACGCUGAGGUGCGAAAGCGUGGGGAGCAAACA